GGGGAAUAUUGCACAAUGGGGGAAACCCUGAUGCAGCAACGCCGCGUGAGUGAUGAAGGCCUUCGGGUUGUAAAGCUCUGUCUUUGGGGACGAUUAUGACGGUACCCAAGGAGGAAGCCACGGCUAACUACGUGCCAGCAGCCGCGGUAAUACGUAGGUGGCAAGCGUUGUCCGGAUUUACUGGGCGUAAAGGAUGCGUAGGCGGAUAUUUAAGUGAGAUGUGAAAUACCCGGGCUCAACUUGGGUGCUGCAUUUCAAACUGGAUAUCUAGAGUGCAGGAGAGGAAAGUGGAAUUCCUAGUGUAGCGGUGAAAUGCGUAGAGAUUAGGAAGAACAUCAGUGGCGAAGGCGACUUUCUGGACUGUAACUGACGCUGAGGCAUGAAAGCGUGGGGAGCAAAC
rnacentral:rRNA from 1 species